rnacentral:lncRNA from 1 species
GGAUCAAUGGGGUCAAGUCUUAUGGGCAGAAAGGGCUUAAAUGAAUAAAUACCGGCGAUGAACCGUCGCCACUCGGAUGUUACGGAGAUAACGCGAUGGUGGUGCCUUAUCUCAGGCUGGCGGGAAGGUAACGAGGUCUUGUUUGGUUGUGAAAAGUCUGAAAUAUUCCUCAAAAAAAUUAUUACGGCUAAAAGUUGCCAAGCGGCGCAGCUUCCUAUUUGCAUUAUUUUCAGAAUAACGGGUGAGGCAGCAAUUAGAAACCUCCAGCCGUGAUCUGGGGGUCUUUACAGAGACGUAUUUACCUUCUCGCUUCUCCUUGAGGGUGUGAGUGAAAAGCCAGUCCGGUUUUGGGAAGCUCGUAACACGGAACUGGAGGUGGAAAUGUCCAGAAAUGGACAAAAGCGGCCGCACAACGACAGCCGUAGAGAGAAGGGCGACCGGCACCACGCGGGUGAGACAGUUGGUGCUACACACCAACGUUUUGCUGAGCUUUAUAAAAACGAGACCGGAGAAGUGCAACUUCCAGGGACGCGAGACAAGGGUGACACCAGGAGACACAUCACGAGCUGGGGGGGGACUAACAACGCCGAGUUUUAAGAUUGUGGUCUUCAGUCGUGCUCUGGUUCCACCCUGCAGACUCUAAGCACCGUGCUCUAAGCCUAGCUACACGAUUUACAGUUCGCUUUAUUUCCAGAAAGUUGAAAUCAUUUUACUUUGAAGAUUUUUUUGGCUCAGGGACCUAAAGGCUCGGUCCCCCCGGCAGCGAGUGACGCAGCCUGCACCGUGUGUGAUGGGAUGGGCUGAAGAGGCUGAACGUGUCCUGUCCCACAUGAAGAGGAGCUUGUGCCGAAGAACAGGCCACAAUCCCAGGGCUGUAUUUUGAAAGCAUUAUAAUCUUUUGUAGAAAAAGUUAUGUUUCCAGCCAAAAGUAUCUUCCAAGUUAAGGGCCGCGUUUGUGAAUGACUUUCAAGAUCCAAAUAACCUAGUGGACGCAACAGGAAAAAAAAUAAAAGGAGAUGAGAAGUGGGUACA